AAAUAAGAAACAAUAAUUUGUAUUUAGUUUCGACCUAAAAUUUUGAUGAUGCCGCCAUCCUUAUUUA
rnacentral:tRNA from 1 species